rnacentral:rRNA from 1 species
CACGUAGGGUGCGAGCGUUGUCCGGAAUUAUUGGGCGUAAAGCGCGCGUAGGUGGCCACAUAAGUCCGUUGUGAAAGUCAAAGGCUCAACCUUUGAAAGCCGAUGGAUACUGUGUGGCUAGAGUACGGAAGAGGCGAGUGGAAUUCCUGGUGUAGCGGUGGAAUGCGCAGAUAUCAGGAGGAACACCAAUAGCGAAGGCAGCUCGCUGGGACGUUACUGACACUGAGGCGCGAAAGCGUGGGGAGCGAACAGG